GGUGUUGAUAGGCAAGUCGUGUGUUGCGCACCGCGGUCGAGACUUCGUUUGUUGGGGUUGUGGGCUCGGAUAUAUACAAACUUCGUGCCAAGCGGUGCAUGACUGGGCUGGCUUGCUGCAAUCGUUGACCCGUUUGGGUUGUCGGGGUGCGGCUUGCUUGCUCAAACCAUGGUGUACGUAACGGCGCGUGGGUAGUUGUCGGCUUGUGUGGGUUGGUUGGAUCCCUGCUUGGGCAGCGACGUCCCCCUGUGCAGGCCUCUUCAGUUGUUGGCCCAAGAGCACCUUAGCCUUGGCCGCGUACGGGUUUCCUGUGUUGUAUGCCUACUGAAACGGAAUUCCUGUGUCUUAUCGUUUGUCGUUCGCCUUGUGAUGCCCCUUUCGGGUGCGGCAUCGGGUGAACCUCGAAGUGAUGUUCGUGUUCCUCGUCACCCACGAAACGUGUUGGCGCGGACCACGAAUCGUUGCUUGAGCUCUCGGAUGCGGAACACACGGUGGGUCGGAGGCCGACGGCCUCCCUUUGCCCGAACUGAGCGAUAUUCGCUCGUAUACCGAACGACUGC
rnacentral:misc_RNA from 1 species